ensembl:rRNA 5S_rRNA 5S ribosomal RNA
GCUUACGGCCAUACCAACCUGGCUAUGCCCGAUCUCGUCUGAUCUCGGAAGCUAAGCAGGUUUUGGCCUGGUUAGUACUUGGAUGGGAGACCGCCUGGGAAUACCAGGUGCUGUAAGCU